AAAGAAUUAGUUAAAUAAUAACAUUAGAUUGUCAAUUUAAAAUUAAUUAAAUUUAAUUAUUUUUUA
rnacentral:tRNA from 1 species